rnacentral:tRNA from 4 species
GGAGAGAUGGCCGAGUGGUUGAUAGCUCCGGUCUUGAAAACCGGUAUAGUUCAGAAAAAAGAACUAUCGAGGGUUCGAAUCCCUCUCUCUCCU